rnacentral:rRNA from 1 species
AAUAAGCGGAGGAAAAGAAACCAACAGGGAUUGCCUCAGUAACGGCGAGUGAAGCGGCAACAGCUCAAAUUUGAAAUCUGGCCUCGUCGGGGCUCGAGUUGUAAUUUGUAGAGGAUGCUUCGGGUGCGGCGCCGGUCUAAGUCCAUUGGAACAUGGCGUCAGAGAGGGUGAGAAUCCCGUAUGCGACCGGCGACCAAGCCCAGCUGUAGCUCCUUCGACGAGUCGAGUUGYUUGGGAAUGCAGCUCUAAAUGGGUGGUAUAUUUCAUCUAAAGCUAAAUACCGGCCAGAGACCGAUAGCGCACAAGUAGAGUGAUCGAAAGAUGAAAAGCACUUUGGAAAGAGAGUCAAAAAGUACGUGAAAUUGUUGAAAGGGAAGCGCUCGCGACUAGACCUGUCCGCGGGCGAUCAGCCUCCGUUCUCCGGGGUGCACUCGUCUGCGAUCAGGCCAGCAUCAGUUCGGGCGGUCGGAUAAAGGCCGCGGGAAUGUAGCUCCCCCUCGGGGGAGUCUUAUAGUCCGCGGCGGAAUGCGUCCAGCCCGGACUGAGGACCGCGCUUCGGCCAGGAUGCUGGCGUAAUGGUCGUGAGCGGCC